UUGAGGGCGGAGGGAGGAAGAAGGUGAUGGGAGAUCUCUACGCUUUCGAUUUCGAUGGAGUUCUCCGUAAUAGCUGUGGAGAGAGCUCUCUCUAUCUCUGCUGUUAAGGGGUUGGAGAAGAAGGACAAGUAAGAAGCGUUUGAAGACUGUAGACGAAGAAACUACAUUGAAUCAAAACUUGUUGGAUUAGAUGUGAAAGAGCUAAAACGACAAUCCUCCUAAGAAUUCAUCAUCUGAUAUCCAUGAAUGUCAAAUGGAUUUUGGUGUAAUCUGGCCGUAACCCCAUUAGUCUUCGAUCUACGGGGCAAUUGCAACUGAAUAAAGAGAAAUAGAGAGAUGGAGGAAGUC